AAUCAACGCUGGCGGCAUGCCUAACACAUGCAAGUCGAACGCGAAAGGGUCCUUCGGGAUCUGAGUAGAGUGGCGUCCGGGUGAGUAACGCGUAGAUCAUCUACCUUCGGGUGGGGAAUAACUCAGGGAAACUUGAGCUAAUACCGCAUAACAUCGAAAGAUCAAAGCAGGGGAUCGCAAGACCUUGCGCCUGAAGAGGAGUCUGCGUCUGAUUAGCUAGUUGGUAAGGUAAUGGCUUACCAAGGCUUCGAUCAGUAGCUGGUCUGAGAG
rnacentral:rRNA from 1 species